rnacentral:rRNA from 1 species
AUAAUGUCUGAUAAUCGGAAUGAGAACAAUUUAAAUCCCUUAUCGAGGAUCCAUUGGAGGGCAAGUCUGGUGCCAGCAGCCGCGGUAAUACCAGCUCCAAUAGCGUAUAUUAAAGUUGUUGCGGUUAAAAAGCUCGUAGUUGGAUUUCUGGCUUGGAAUGCCUGGCCAACCUCUUGAUGGGGUCUGUGCUGGAUGCAUUCUUGGUCAUCUUUCAGGUGUUUGCGGUUUUCGUUUAUUCGUUUGCCGUCAAUAGUCCUGAUCUUUUACUUUGAAGAAAUUAGAGUGUUCAAAGCAGGCUUUUCGCUCUGAAUACAUUAGCAUGGAAUAAUAAGAUAGGACUCAGUUGUUCUAUUUUGUUGGUUCCUAGGACCUGAGUAAUGAUUGAUAGGGAUAGUUGGGGAUGCUUAUAUUCAAUGGCCAGAGGUGAAAUUCGCGGAUUCAUUGAAGAUAAACUCAUGCGAAAGCGUCCAUCAAGGAUGUCUUCUUUAAUCAAGAACGAAAGUUGGGGGAUCGAAGACGAUCAGAUACCGUCGUAGUCUCAACCAUAAACUAUGCCAACUAGGGAUUGGCAGACGUUGUUUUUUGACUCUGUCAGCACCUUAUGAGAAAUCAAAGUCUUUGGGUUCCUGGGGGAGUAUGGUCACAAGGCUGAAACUUAAAGGAAUUGACGGAAGGGCACCACCAGGGGUGGAGCCUGCGGCUUAAUUUGACCCAACACGGGAAAACUCACCGGGUCCGGACAUGGCGAGGAUUGACAGAUUGAAGAUCUUUCUUGAUUCUAUGGGUGGUGGUGCAUGGCCGUUCUUAGUUGGUGGAGUGAUUUGUCUGGUUUAUUCCGUUAACGAACGAGACCUCAGCCUACUAAAUAGUAGUGUAAAUUAUUUUUAAUUUAUUGCAACUUCUUAGAGGGACUAUGUGUGUUUCUAGCACAUGGAAGUUUGAGGCAAUAACAGGUCUGUGAUGCCCUUAGAUGUCCCGGGCUGCACGCGCGCUACACUGUUGCAUUCAGCGAGUUCUUAACCCUUGACCGGAAGGUCCGGGUAAUCUUUGAAAUUGCAACGUGAUGGGGCUAGAUUAUUGCAAUUAUUAAUCUCAAACGAGGAAUCCCUAGUAAACGCACGUCAUCAACGUGCAUUGAUUACGUCCCUGCCCUUUGUACACACCGCCCGUCGCUCCUACCGAUUGAAUGGUCCGGUGAAACCUCAGGAUUGGCGUCUCGUUGUGGACUCCACGACUUGAUGCACAAGA